rnacentral:rRNA from 1 species
GUGCAGCAGUCGCGAAUAGUCUACAAUGGACGAAAGUCUGAUAGUGCGACGCCGUGUGUGCGAUUAAUUCCUUCGGGAUGUAAAGCACUUUUCUAUGAGAUAAAAGCUCUUUAGGUUAAUAGCUUAUUGAGACGGAUAUUAUUAUAGGAAUAAGCUCCGGCUAACUCCGUGCCAGCAGCCGCGGUAAUACGGAAGGAGCGAGCGUUGUCCGGAUUUACUAGGCGUAAAGGGCUAGUAGGCGACUAAUUAAGUUAUAUGUUAAAUCCCACGGCUCAACUGUGGUCCUGCAUGUAAUACUGGUUAGAUAGAGUACUGUAGAGGAAGGCAGAAUUCCUGGAGUAGCGGUGGAAUGCGCAGAUAUCAGGAAGAAUACCAAAAGCGAAGGCAGCUUCUGGGCAGUACUGACGCUGAAUAGCGAAGGUGUGGGUAGCGAACAGGAUUAGAUACCCGCGUAGU